rnacentral:rRNA from 1 species
CCUACGGGAGGCAGCAGUGAGGAAUAUUGGUCAAUGGCCGUAAGGCUGAACCAGCCAAGUCGCGUGAAGGAAGAAGGAUCUAUGGUUUGUAAACUUCUUUUAUAGGGGAAUAAAGGUAUCCACGUGUGGAUAUUUGCAUGUACCCUAUGAAUAAGCAUCGGCUAACUCCGUGCCAGCAGCCGCGGUAAUACGGAGGAUGCGAGCGUUAUCCGGAUUUAUUGGGUUUAAAGGGUGCGUAGGUUGUUUUUUAAGUCAGUGGUGAAAGUUUGUGGCUCAACCAUAAAAUUGCCGUUGAAACUGGAAGUCUUGAGUGUGUUUGAGGUAGGCGGAAUGCGUGGUGUAGCGGUGAAAUGCAUAGAUAUCACGCAGAACUCCGAUUGCGAAGGCAGCUUACUAAGCCGUAACUGACACUGAAGCACGAAAGCGUGGGGAUCAAACAGGAUUAGAUACCCCAGUAGUC